UUCUGUUUUAAUACAGGCACAAUUGCGUUUUACUUACUCGAGGACCCCCGUUUCUAGAAUGUCGCACUUGCGCUUGGCCUCAAAAUCGAAAUACUUGUUUCGAAGUCCUUAAGCACCUCUCAUUACGCAACGAAGGAGUUCACAAGCAUGAGCAAGGCACUACUUAGACUUCUUCGAUGGAGCACCAUUUUCGCAUUUUGUGAUGCCUCUUCGAAAGCAGUCAUAAGCAAGAGUGUACCUUGUAAGUUAAUUAUGUGAAAGAAGGACGAAAGGUUCUCUGUACCAUUGGGCGUCUUACUUUAUAAUAGAUCUAAAUGUUGUCAUGGAUAAUGUACUGU
rnacentral:lncRNA from 1 species